rnacentral:sRNA from 1 species
UUAGUUCUCGCAACUCUUAGAUACCAAGUACACCCUUUAGAAGCUUGGCGGCAUCGUAGCAUAAGUCUCAACGGGUCUGACUUAAUAGUAUAGACUCCAAAAACUUCUUUCUUUGCAGCUCUGUUAACCAAUUCCCACACAGCCUCCCUUGAACAAAAUUCUUGACCAAUUUCAAUACCCGUACCAUCAUCCCAUUCUAUAACCUGCGGAGUAACUUCUACACUUCGUGGAAUAUCGUGAAUAUCAUCAUAAUCAAUCCUAUCAUCCUCAUCUUGUUCCUCAACAGAAUUCACCGGCCUUUCCAUCGGCCUUUCGAUAGCCACGAUCUCCGUACCUACUACAUUCUCACAAUCAUUCACAUCAUUAUCAUAUCCAUCAUGCACCAUCUCACAUACUUCAUUUAAAACAUCAUCCUCUAUUACAUUUACACCAACUGAACUUCGACGCUCCGGUACAGAAAUUUCCUCUCUCCUCUCAACUCCUAUACCAUUUAAUUCCUCCACAUGCAAAACAGGAAUCCGACUCUCUUCAUCAGAUUCUGUUAAAAAUAUGAAGACAUCCUCAUCAUUUACAAUAUAUGUCUCUCUCCUAACUUUAGACAGAUUGUAACUCAGUUUCAACUUGACAGAAGCUUCAUCAAUCGCAACCUUCUUCAUGAUCUUGUCAACUAACAUCGAAUAGCUAAUCUUCUCCAAACUACUCGUCUUAAACGAUAUAACAUAUAGUGAAUUUUUACCAAUCCACUCAUUCACUUCAGAAUAGUAUCCUCCAAAGUCAAAAUGUACCUUAGUGUGGAUCUUCUUCUUCAUCGCUCCUGAAAAUACAACCAGUUCAACUCCAAUCAAACAUUUUAAUAGUUAUACCACAUGUACUCUUAUCAUACGUUGAAAUCAAUCUCUCGUCGCACUCGUCUCUACUGAACCUAAUUCGUUACCUUUCAAUUGAUUUCCAAUGUUAAUACAUACCUAUUCGUUAAACUAAUUGGUUAAUCUAAACUUUGCAAACACAAACCCCCCAAAUCUUUAAUAUGAAAUCUCGGAAUUCAAAUUCAACUCACAUUCAACCUACAUUCCUUUGCUCAUCACCUCAAAUAACGUUUCGGCAACCUCUAAUCGAUUACUCUUUACUUUGCAAACCAAUCAUCAAACUAUCAAAUUGAAUCGAGCUGGGAAUUAUAUAGAAUUCAAAAUCCCAAUCUAAAAUCACAAUGCACCAAUGUCAAAGGAAAUAUGAGAAGAAACUGACCUAAUUCGUGGCUUUUACGCCGGAUUUCAAGUCGGCGGCAUGAGGAAAUCGAUGGUGGCCGACGAAGAAGAUGAACGUCGACCAAAGAAGAAGAACACGACGACGAAGAGGAGAAUCUCCGAACUCGAUUUUCUUUAUUUAGCUUUUGAAUUUCUUUUUCAUUUUUUUAAUCAACUCAUUAAGGGUACAACUGGUAUAUCACAUUUUCGGUGGCAUUCAGAUUAACUUAUGGCAGUCCAGAUCAGUUUUUUCAAAAAAGUGGCAUAAGUGAUAAAAGUCCCCCCCUGCGGUUUGGUUUCUUGUCCGCUCCAAAACUUGUGAGGGCAUUUUAGUCAUUACAACAUGGGAACUGGAUU